rnacentral:rRNA from 1 species
UACGUAGGGACCAAGCGUUGUCCGGAAUCAUUGGGCGUAAAGAGCGUGUAGGCGGCUUGUUAAGUCUUGCGUGAAAUCUCGGGGCUCAACCCCGAGCGGUCGUGAGAAACUGGCAGGCUAGAGUGCGGGAGAGGAGAGUGGAAUUCCUGGUGUAGCGGUGGAAUGCGUAGAUAUGUGGAGGAACACCGAUGGCGAAGGCAGCCCCCUGGGUCAAGACUGACGCUCAUGCACGAAAGCGUGGGGAGCAAACAGG